rnacentral:rRNA from 1 species
UGUGACCUCAAAUCAGGUAGGACUACCCGCUGAACUUAAGCAUAUCAAUAAGCGGAGGAAAAGAAACUAACAAGGAUUCCCCUAGUAACUGCGAGUGAAGCGGGAAAAGCUCAAAUUUAAAAUCUGGCGGUCUUUUGGCUGUCCGAGUUGUAAUCUAGAGAAGUGUUAUCCGCGCUGGACCGUGUACAAGUCUCCUGGAAUGGAGCAUCAUAGAGGGUGAGAAUCCCGUCUUUGACAUGGACUGCCAGGGCUUUGUGAUGCGCUCUCAAAGAGUCGAGUUGUUUGGGAAUGCAGCUCAAAAUGGGUGGUAAAUUCCAUCUAAAGCUAAAUAUUGGCGAGAGACCGAUAGCGAACAAGUACCGUGAGGGAAAGAUGAAAAGAACUUUGGAAAGAGAGUUAAACAGUACGUGAAAUUGCUGAAAGGGAAACGCUUGAAGUCAGUCGCGUUGUCCAGGGAUCAUCCUUGCUUUUGCUUGGUGCACUUUCUGGUUCGACGGGUCAGCAUCAAUUUUGAUCAUUGGAAAAAGGCUAAGGGAAUGUGGCAUCUUUGGAUGUGUUAUAGUCCUUGGUCACAUACAAUGGUUGGGAUUGAGGAACUCAGCACGCCGCAAGGUCGGG